rnacentral:rRNA from 1 species
CUUAUAUUCUGUAGCAAGGUUAACCGUAUAGGGGAGCCGAAGGGAAACCGAGUCUUAACUGGGCGUUAAGUUGCAGGGUAUAGACCCGAAACCCGGUGAUCUAGCCAUGGGCAGGUUGAAGGUUGGGUAACACUAACUGGAGGACCGAACCGACUAAUGUUGAAAAAUUAGCGGAUGACUUGUGGCUGGGGGUGAAAGGCCAAUCAAACCGGGAGAUAGCUGGUUCUCCCCGAAAGCUAUUUAGGUAGCGCCUCGUGAACUCAUCUUCGGGGGUAGAGCACUGUUUCGGCUAGGGGGUCAUCCCGACUUACCAACCCGAUGCAAACUGCGAAUACCGAAGAAUGUUAUCACGGGAGACACACGGCGGGUGCUAACGUCCGUCGUGAAGAGGGAAACAACCCAGACCGCCAGCUAAGGUCCCAAAGUCACAGUUAAGUGGGAAACGAUGUGGGAAGGCUCAGACAGCCAGGAUGUUGGCUUAGAAGCAGCCAUCAUUUAAAGAAAGCGUAAUAGCUCACUGGUCGAGUCGGCCUGCGCGGAAGAUGUAACGGGGCUAAACUGUGCACCGAAGCUGCGGCAGCGACGCUUAUGCGUUGUUGGGUAGGGGAGCGUUCUGUAAGCCUGCGAAGGUGUCCUGUGAGGGAUGCUGGAGGUAUCAGAAGUGCGAAUGCUGACAUAAGUAACGAUAAUGCGGGUGAAAAGCCCGCUCGCCGGAAGACCAAGGGUUCCUGUCCAACGUUAAUCGGGGCAGGGUGAGUCGACCCCUAAGGCGAGGCCGAAAGGCGUAGUCGAUGGGAAACGGGUUAAUAUUCCCGUACUUGGUGUUACUGCGAAGGGGGGACGGAGAAGGCUAUGUUGGCCGGGCGACGGUUGUCCCGGUUUAAGCGUGUAGGUGUGUGUUCCAGGUAAAUCCGGUUCACUUUAACACUGAGGCGUGAUGACGAGGCACUACGGUGCUGAAGCAACAAAUGCCCUGCUUCCAGGAAAAGCCUCUAAGCAUCAGGUAACAUCAAAUCGUACCCCAAACCGACACAGGUGGUCAGGUAGAGAAUACCAAGGCGCUUGAGAGAACUCGGGUGAAGGAACUAGGCAAAAUGGUGCCGUAACUUCGGGAGAAGGCACGCUGACACGUAGGUGAAGUGAUU